GGCAGCGGCGGAGCUCGGAGGCGGCCCCAGCGCAGGUUUCUGCCCCUUCCCCCAGCAGGACACCGCCUCAGUCCUCUGGAUCGCUUCAGAACUGCAGACAGGCCCCCUCUCUCCGGUGCCUCCGCAGUCUCCAGCCUCAUUGGCAGCUGCCAGUUCCCUUGGGCGGUGUGAGUUCUGAUGAGGAUUUGUCAUUCCCAAGGCGUGGCCGGAUGGAGGAGGAG